UACGUAGGUGUCAAGCGUUGUCCGGAUUUAUUGGGCGUAAAGCGCCCGCAGGCGGCUUGCCAAGUUCGAUGUGAAAUCUCCCGGCUCAACUGGGAGGGUGCAUCGAAAACUGGCAGGCUUGAGGCAGGGAGAGGGAUGUGGAAUUCCAGGUGUAGCGGUGAAAUGCGCAGAUAUCAGGAGGAACACCAAUGGCGAAGGCAGCACUCUGGGACGUGACUGACGCUGAGACGCGAAAGCGUGGGGAGCAAACAGG
rnacentral:rRNA from 1 species